UAAUACCGGAUAACAACAGAAUGAUGCCUAUCAACUGUUUAAAAGAUAGGUUCUGCUAUCACUCUUGGAUGGACCUCGCGGUGCAUUAGCUAGUUGGUAGGGUAACGGCCUACCAAGGCGAUGAUGCAUAGCCGAGUUGAGAGACUGAUCGGCCACAUUGGGACUGAGACACGGCCCAAACUCCUACGGGAGGCAGCAGUC
rnacentral:rRNA from 1 species